rnacentral:rRNA from 1 species
CCUACGGGAGUCAGCAGUGGGGAAUAUUGCACAAUGGGCGAAACCCUGAUGCAGCGACGCCGCGUGCGUGAAGAAGUAAUUCGUUAUGUAACGCUCUAUCAUCAGGGAAGAAAAUGACGGUACCUGAGUAAGAAGCCGCGGCUAACUACGUGCCAGCAGCCGCGGUAAUACGUAGGGGGCAAGCGUUAUCCGGAUUUAAUGGGUGUAAAGGGAGCGUAGACGGCAGGGCAAGUCUGGAGUGAAAGGCCGGGGCUCAACGCCGGGACUGCUCUGGAAACUGGACGGCUGGAGUGCAGGAGAGGUAAGUGGAAUUACUGGUGUAGGAGGGAAAUGCGUAGAGAUUAGGAGGAACACCAGUGGCGAAGGCGGCUUACUGGAAUGUAACUGACGUUGAGGCGCGAAAGCGUGGGGAGCAAACAGGAUUAGAUACCCGAGUAGUC